GAAAGCUUUUGGGGCAAGUCUUUUUAGUGUUCAGAAGUUGUUUGAACAGCCUUGGAAAAAAUGUACUUUCCUCCCACAGGGGAAGAGAUUACGGGACAAUGCUUUCAAUUUCGCGGAAUUUAAGAAGCAGGUAAACGCCUUGAGCCAGGGCGGGUGACAGUUACGGAAGAAGGAGAAGCCUGGAGGUGCACAUCUGAGUAAAAUCAUCCAGGCCAUUUUCUCAUCUCAACAGCAAUGACUGGGGAGUCGGUCCAUUGACCAAAACCUAGCCACACCAAAGGGAGGACCCUGUUGCUCAACUGUGAAAUCAGAGUGUCUGCAAGGAAGAAAAUGAAACCAUGGAUGUAACCACAGUACCUGGCUUGCAGAAAUGGCAAUGGCUUAAAUAUAGAGUGGUUGCUGGAUUCACAUCACCCUGGCCCCAUACGCAAGAACCCUAAACCAAACAAGGCCGGAUACUUUCUCUCAGAUUUGUAGAGGACACUCUAGAAGUCUGGUUCCUCACUAUUGGCAUUUGAUCCAAGACUGCAGAUAACACCCAAGGUGGUCAUUCAGGAAAAGGCUCAGGAGGUGGUGGAAGAUGCAGAGAGAAAGACUCAGACAGUGAAUAUCGGUUUGAACUCUACACUUUGUCCUGUAACCCUUGGGGACUGAGUCUGCCAACUCUGAAGCCAACGAUGCAGAAAUUCAUUCAUUCACAGAUAUUAAGGAACGAUCUACUGUCUCCAAAUCCUGAGCAAAAAUGGAACUGAAAGAUGAGCAAUGCCUAGUUCUCAAGUAGCUUACUCAGAAUUCAC
rnacentral:lncRNA from 1 species